GGAAAUUGAGAAAGUAAUAAAUAAGUCUACUUUUUUUUACUUUUUUUUAUUGUUAUAUGAUUCUCUUUAAAAGUGUAUUAUUUAUUUAUUUAUUUAUUUAUAUACUUUCACUUAGGUUACAUUUUUUUUAAUAGUUUAUAUUUUAAAAAUCGAACCGGUCAUCAAAAAUUGACCAGGGUAUUUGAUUAUUGAUUUAUUGGUCAAAC
rnacentral:lncRNA from 1 species